AUUAAGGUAACACAGCCAGGUCAUGUAACAAGACUUAAAAUUUUGACACGGGUGUUCAAAUCACCUCCUUAAU
rnacentral:tRNA from 1 species